UGAGAUUAUGAAGAUUCAUUA
rnacentral:miRNA from 1 species